rnacentral:rRNA from 1 species
AACGAACGCUGGCGGCAGGCUUAACACAUGCAAGUCGAGCGCCCCGCAAGGGGAGCGGCAGACGGGUGAGUAACGCGUGGGAAUCUACCGUGCCCUACGGAAUAGCUCCGGGAAACUGGAGUUAAUACCGUAUACGCCCUUCGGGGGAAAGAUUUAUCGGGGUAUGAUGGGCCCGCGUUGGAUUAGCUAGUUGGUGGGGGAAAGGCCUACCAAGGCGACGAUCCAUAGCUGGUCUGAGAGGAUGAUCAGCCACAUUGGGACUGAGACACGGCCCAAACUCCUACGGGAGGCAGCAGUGGGGAAUAUUGGACAAUGGGCGCAAGCCUGAUCCAGCCAUGCCGCGUGAGUGAUGAAGGCCCUAGGGUUGUAAAGCUCUUUCACCGGUGAAGAUAAUGACGGUAACCGGAGAAGAAGCCCCGGCUAACUUCGUGCCAGCCGCCGCUGUAAUAC